rnacentral:lncRNA from 1 species
CCCACCCCCACCCCCCUCGUGCCCGCUCCGCUACGUAUUCCCGUAUUCCCGGGUGCCUGGCAACAGUGAUGUGCUUUAGGCCUUUUUUAGAAUGCAUACAAACGGAACCAUAUCUAAGUGAUGUCUGGCUUUUUUAACUUAGCACAAUGCUUUGAGAUUCAUACUAUUGUGUUUAAUUAGUAAUUCAUUUGUGUUAUUGUUGAAUGGUAGUCUAUCAUAUGGGUAAGCCACAGUUUAUUUAUCCAUUCACCAAUUGAUGGGCCUGUCGGUUGUAGGGAACAGGAGAAAACUUCCCCUUUGCCCUCUGAAGGGUCACCGAAAAUCAACUGACAAGGCUGGGCCUGGGCUCCUGCCUGUAACCCCAGCCCUUUUUUAGCCCAAGGCAGGAGGAUCUCUUCUUUGUGAAGUGUGUAUUCAAAUCUUUUGACCAUUUAUUUAUUAGCUAGCUUGACUUUUUAUCUAAGAGUUCUUUAUAUAUUAUUGAGUUCUUUAUAUGUUUCAUACCAUGUUCUUUAUUAGCUAUACGUUUUGAAAUGUUUUCUACCUGUCUGUGGCUUGCCUCUUCAUUUUAAGUGUCUUUUGAAGCACUGAAGUUUUCAAUUUUGAUGUAAUUUAUCCAUUUUUUUCUUUUACAUAGUUCAUACCUUUUUUGUCCUACUUAAGACAUUUUUGCUAAAUUCAAGAUUAUAAGAUUUCCUCAUUUGUUACCUUCUGGAAGUUUUAUAAUUGUUGGUCUUCAUUAUAUUUAAAAUGAAUUAUUCUUUAUAGUAUCGAUAGAUGCUGGAGGCAGAUAAGGGAGGGUCCCUGGAGAAUCUCUGACCUGCCUCACAAGCUUUUGUGCAGCUGAGGAAGCCUGCCCAGGGUCUUGUCUGGGCAUGCCCACAAGGGACUUGGGGGCCCACUGCACCAGGAGAGUGGGGUGCAGCCAGAGGGAAUUCAGCCUUAUGCAGCAGGGAUGAGCAAGAAGUCUUCAGCUUGUGUGUGUUGGCCUGUUAUUCAGUCUGUGAGCUGGGAGCCUGUUGGCAGGACCCUCCUUGUUUUUUUGCUAAGAGCUUUUAAUAAAUGCCACUCUUCACCUUGCAAUGUAUUCACAUGCCUAAUUGUUCCUGGUCAUGAGACAAGAACCUGGAUUUUAGCUGAGCUAAGGAGCAAAAAUUCCUGCAUCAGUAUGAGGUGUAAGGAAGAACAGAAGGAUCCAAGUGUGAGAAAGCCCACCCUGAGUCUCUCAGAGAUUCAUUUCACUACCAGGUCAAAGACACAAUCAAAAGCCCGACAAAUGGAAUUUGUGGAAUUGGAACAAAAAGCUUUUCUUCCUAGGCACAAGAACAUCAAAGCAUAAAUCCUUCAGGUAUCAGCAAUGACAUCACUUAAGAAUUUCUCAGAAUCUUUGGCACCACCCCAGGCCUACCGGAUCAGAAUCUGAAUUUUUUAACAAGAUCUCAGAUCUAGUCAAGAGUCCAGUCUGAUUUCUCUUUAUUGGGACUACCACCCAAAGCAGAAUGAGGAUGAUGUAACCACGCCCAGUGACUUCUGGAUACCACUGACUCUAGAUGAGCAAGGAGAGACUCAGAGGAAGUCAGCGUUACUCGAUUAGAAAGUGACUGUGGCACUACCAUAGUAGUAAAAUCUACCAUGGCAGAGAAAAUGCCAUAUGUUCACCUUGCCAGUCGUUUUUCUUUUUCCUCCUGGGUUUAUAGGAAGAUGGCAGCCCCUGGCUCCCCUGCAAUCAGGCAGGGCCAUGUGACUGAGUCUUAGCUCACCAAUGUGGGAGAAAGUGAUGUGUGACACAUUAAGGCCAGGCCACUGAAACCUCUCAUGGGAACUUCCAUACUCACUUCCCUCAUCUGCUAGCCAACCCAAAAGAUUGAGUGGAGGAUUUUACAGCCCCAGGGCCUAGAGAUGCUGGAAAGAAGCCUGAUUCAGCCCUGAAUGAACCUGUGCAAAGGUGCCUCUGACCUCCAACCCUUGUUGGACUAGGAUGUUGGAAAAUACUGUGUUAAGCUACUGGGAUUUCAAAGUUGUUUGUCAUAGCAGCUAGCCAUAUUUACUCUACCUGAUAGAUCUAUGUUCUGUAAUUACAGUGUUUGCCUUUCAUGUCCUAAGGGUAAAUAAGUGAUAUAUGCAACAAUAAACUGUGAUGUACUAUAUAUUGUUUUUAUUACAUUAAAAUUCUUAAAAUUUGCUUUUUCA